CCUACGGGUGGCAGCAGUGGGGAAUAUUGCACAAUGGGGGAAACCCUGAUGCAGCGACGCCGCGUGAGUGAAGAAGUAUUUCGGUAUGUAAAGCUCUAUCAGCAGGAACGAGACAAGACGGUACCUGACUAAGAAGCCCCGGCUAACUACGUGCCAGCAGCCGCGGUAAUACGUAGGGGACAAGCGUUAUCCGGAAUCACUGGGUGGAAAGGGAGCGUAGACGGCUGAGCAAGCCUGAAGUGAAAGGCGGGGGCCCAACCCCCGGACUGCUUUGGGAACUGUACGGCUGGAGUGCAGGAGAGGUAAGUGGAAUUCCUAGUGUAGCGGUGAAAUGCGUAGAUAUUAGGAGGAACACCAGUGGCGAAGGCGGCUUACUGGACUGUAACUGACGUUGAGGCUCGAAAGCGUGGGGAGCAAACAGGAUUAGAUACCCUAGUAGUC
rnacentral:rRNA from 1 species